UGCGGGGUAGAGGAGUCAGGUUAUCUCGGGCGGCUCAUAACCGCUGACAUACGCGGGUUCAAAUCCCGCUCCCGCAACCA
rnacentral:tRNA from 1 species